GCAAUGCAUAUAUGUGAAUGAUAAAAGUAAAUUGCACAUUUGUUGAAGGAAAUGUAAGGUGCUUCAUGAAGUAUUUUGUAAAAGAUACAUUCAUUAAAUGUGAACAUUUUCCAAAUGUUGUUGUGCUUCUUUAUACCAAAACAAAGGAAAGACACAUUGUUUUGGUUGUUUAUAGCAAAGUAUGGUAUCAUUUUAAUGGUCCGGCCCACUUGACAUCGACCGAGGCCGUAUGUGGCCCACCAUGUGAAAUGAGUUUGACACCAGUGAUGUAUAGUAAGGCGUUUUUAGCCGAAAAAAACAACCAUGUAUAAUAAGGCGUUUUUCAAUGAAAAAAAACAACCAUGGAUUGUAAGGUGUUUUUAGCCGAAAAAAACGACCAUGUAUACAAAGGCUUUUUUAGCCAAAAAAAAAGACCAUGUAUAGUAAGGCAUUUUUGGACAAAAUCUUUAGCCCAAAAAAACGACCAUGUAUAGUAAGGUGUUUUUAGCCGAAAAAAACGACCAUGUAUACAAAGGCCUUUUUAGCCGAAAAAAACGACCAUGUAUAGUAAGGCCUUUUUGGACAAAAAUUUCAGCCGAAAAAAACGACCAUGUAAGGUGUUUUUAGCCGAAAAAAAACAACCAUGUAUAGUAAGGCGUUUUUAGCCGAAAAAACCGACCUUGAAUAGUAAGGCGUUUUUGGACGAAAUUUUUAGCCGAAAAAAAUGACCAUGUACACUAAAGCGUUUUUAGCCGAAAAAAACGACCAUGUAUAGUAAGGCAUUUUUGGACAAAAUUUUUAGCCGAAAAAAAUGACGA